GAAGCGCUUGCAAUGUGAGUUUUCCAAUAAUAUUUCAACCUUAUAACCUUAUUAUUUUCAAAGGCGUUGUUAACCUUUCAUUUUUCUUCUUGUUUAGAGUCCCGAUUCAGGUUUUUGUGCCGGCAUCCCAAACAACCACUAAGACAGAUUUUGAACCAACACAUAUGCUACAGAUUGAAGGGACUACAGAAACCACUUCUGAAACCCCCAAACAACUUCAAGAGACCACACCCACGCUUCCCCCAACUCCAACUAAAAUUCAUCCAGACGCAGAAGACGCUGCUGCCCUGUUGAUGAUGGCACGGACAGCAUCCUAUGUUCCUAAAAUAGAUCCAGGGGUGCCAUCAUUCAGCCUUGGAUUGACUGAUUCAAGCCAGGAGGGGGCGUCAACGCAGGAGACAGAAAGGGCAAAAUCUCCUGAAUCUGCAAAUUUGAUAGAACAAUUAGACGAUUUGGUCCAAAAAAUAGCAAGCAGUGCGGCGAAGGGGAAGAACAAAAGUUCACAAAUUCAAAGGGAGACUGGGGGAGAAAGUUCUACAAAGUUUCAAACUCCUGGGGGAUUAUAUCAGAUUACGGAUGAUAUGAAACAAAAGUGCUACAUCUGGGGGACGAGACUGAAGGAAGAUGCAGAUGGCAAUACUAACGAGUAUGAGGAAAUGGGCACUCUGAUUGGCCAAGGAGAAUACAUUUUGAUGAGAAUGCACCUUGUAUCCCUCCAGGCAAAAAGUGAUAUAGAAUCUCAGAUAAUAUUAGAAUAACAUUAAUGUUUUUACACCAAAGUCAAUUGCAAUGCUUAUUAAUGUAAAAUUGAUUUCGGCAUAUAUUUCUAGAUUGUAUCUGCCAUCUGCCUCAUCCUCAACCAGAAAAAUGAAAAGAGGUUUCAAGAACAAAUAUACUGUCUCCCCCCCGAUAUUGUGGUAAGUGUUACUUCUACGAACUUUGAGUGUAUUUUCUGUAUUGAUUUGGGUGUAUUUGUCACGUUCCAUUGGGUGUAAGUUUAGUAUUUCAUUUCUCGUUUCCCAUUCUUGCAGUGCAUGGCACUUUCGGAUCACCCAAAGGGGGAAUUCGUAUCACCGAAAACGAAAAAGAAAUUCAGGGUGGAAGCCUACCCGAGUUUCAUUCCCUUCAUAGAUAGAAAAAAAUUAACUUCGCAUCCAUAUAUUUUUGCUCCUGUUUGCCACUCGGGACAUUGGUGGUUAUGGCUAAUAAAUACAACAAAGCGGAAAUGUCAUAUACUUGACCCGCUACACAAAAAAGCUCCAAGCGAUGAGAGAAAGGACAUUAAUAAAUUCACUGGAUAUGUAUUUUCAAGAUUGAUAACAUAUGCCGGCGGGGAACCUCUGUAGAAAGGGGAGAACGAGAAGAAAAUUAAAUCAUCAUAUGUUAAAAUAUCAGGCCAAAAAACAAGCUAUGACUGCGCUAUCUAUGUUAUGAAGUGGAUGGAGUUAAUUGAGCCGGAAAACAUCAAAAAGGGGAAGUAUGAAUGGGAUAAUUGGCCACAGGAGGAGGUGGACCACUAUAGAGUGGAGUAUGCUUCCCGGAUACUAUUCAGUGAGAUGAAUAAAGAAAGAUAUCGGGCAAUUAGGGAGAGUAGUGCUAUAAGGCUGUCGAAGCCAUCCUCUGUAUUAUUGAGUCCGUUUUGUCAGAUUAAUUCUGCUGAUAUAGAAACUGCGUAAUCCAACUACUGGGUAGUUUGUAAAUUGAACAAAUGAUGUAAAUAUUUGCCAUUUAUCAACAACUUCUAUUCCAUGUAUAUUUUUUCCCAUAGUUAAACUAUCUGUGCUGGUAAACUGUC